rnacentral:rRNA from 1 species
UGGCAGUGCUCAGUCCCAGUGUGGCUGACCAUCCUCUCAGACCAGCUACCCGUAAGCCUUGGGGGGCCGUUACCUCACCAACAAGCUGAUGGGACGCGGGCUCCUCUCCAAGCGACAGGUCCCGAAGGAUCCCCACCUUUAAUCAGUCCCACAUGCGCGGGAAGACCACAUCCGGUAUUAGCCCCCCUUUCGGAGGGUUAUCCCCA